rnacentral:rRNA from 1 species
UUAAAACUGUUUGAAUAUUAUGGGGAACCUUCCUCAAAGGCUAAAUAUAAUACAUAAGCGAUAGUGAAAAGUACCAUGAGGGAAAUAAAAUAAAAAUAGUAGUUUUAUAAGCAGUUCGAAAUAAAGAACGUACCUUUUGCAUAAUGGGUCACCAAGUUAACGUUAGAUGCGAGAUAAUACGUAGUUAAACCGAACGUUAAAAUAACGAUAUAGUAUCUAAAGUUAGACCCGAAGCCUGGUGAUUUUACCAUGGUCAGGAUUAUAAAAGUCCGAACCGGUGAUUGUAGCAAAAAUCUCGGAAGAACUGUGGUAGGUGUAGUGAAAGACAACACUGACUAGGAUAGCUGGUUUUCUGCGAAACCUAUAAUAGUAGGCAGUUUAAGUAAAUAUCUUAGCAGGUACAGAAUUUAAUCUCAGACAAGACAUUUCAAUGUUUUAUAUUGUACAAAUUGGGGGAUCAUGAAGAUUUUAUCAGUGAGUAUGUAGACUCGGAAUGGCAAAGAUAUAUCUUAAACUAUCAGACAUAGAAUGAUAAGGUUGUAUGUCGAAAGGGAAACAGCCCAGAACAAGAGUUAAGGUUCCUAAAUUAUUUGUUAAGUGAAAAUAAGAAGGUUUUUAUUUAAGUCGACAAGGAGAUAGGCUUAGAAGCAGCCAUAAUUUUAUGACCUCGUAACAGAGCGCUUGUUAAAUUAUAAAAGCGUCGAAAAUAUAACGGAUCUAAACAAUAUACCGAAACCUUGUCCAUAAUAUAUUAUAAUAAAUAUGUUUAUUAUAAUUAAAUGGGGUAGCAGAACGUUGAGCUAAAGUAUGAGUUUUAUUUUUUAAAUAAAAUUAUAUUAAUUUAACUCAAGUGAGAAUGGUGACAUGAGUAACUAAAAGAAAAUUUUCCGCCUUAAGCUUAUGGAUGUAAUUAAGUAACGGCCUCUAAGUUUAUAUAAUCUAAAGAUUUAAACGAUGAGAAAAUCUUUAUUACUAAAAACAACAUUUUGGUGCAAAAUGUGCUGGAAAAAUAGUAAUAUGUUUGUUAUUUAAUAACAAAUAAAAUAACCGUACCUAGAAUCUGAAACAAGUAAGCUAGUAGAGAAUACGAAGGCGUAAAUGAGCUAACAAUCAUAAAGGAACUCGGCAAAUUGACUACCGUAACUUCGGAAUAAGGAGGGCUCAUUAUUCUUGAUGAAUAUCAAGUAAAGAGGAAGAAGCAUGAAAUAAUGUUGUACGACUGUUUAAUUAAAACACAGCACUUUGCUGAAAGAUUAAAAAUCUAAGUAUAAAGUGUGAUAUCUGCCCGGUGCCGGCUGGUUAACAGAGAUAAUUGAAUACACUAAUAUUUGAUGUCGACGGAAACCCCGGUUAAAGGCGGCCUUAACGUGAGGGUCCUAAGGUAGCGAAAUGCCUUGGCCGUUAAAUGCGGUCUUGCAUGAAUGGUGUAACGAUACAACAGCUGUCUCUAUGAUUGACUCAGUGAAAUUGGAAUAGCUGUGCAGAUACAGCUUACCUCUAGUUAGACGAGAAGACCCUAUGCAGCUUUACUGUCACUAAUUAUAGAGUAUGAUAAACGAUUUUCAGAAUAUAAGGUAAUUGACAAACAUGACAAUGAGAAACCUUUAUUCUUUUUUCAUAUGAAUGAAUUGGUUUAGGAUUAUGAGUA